rnacentral:rRNA from 1 species
AUUGAACGCUGGCGGCAGGCCUAACACAUGCAAGUCGAACGAGUGGCGGACGGGUGAGUAAUGUCUGGGACACUGCCCGAUGGAAGGGGAUAACUACUUGACACGGUAGCUAAUACCGCAUACCAUCGGAUGUGCCCAGAUGGGAUUGGCUAGUUGGUGGGGUAACGGCUAACCUAGGCGACGAUCCCUAGCUGGUCUGAGAGGAUGACCAGCCACACUGGAACUGAGACACGGUCCAGACUCCUACGGUAGGCAGCAGUGGGGAAUAUUGCACAAUGGGAGCAAGCCUGAUGCAGCCAUGCCGCGGGUAGGAAGAAGGCCUUGGGGUUGUAAAGGACGUUCAGCGAGGAGGCGUUACUAGCAGAAGAAGCACCGGCUAACUCCGUGCCAGCAGCCGCGGUAAUAC